GCCGCGUGUGUGAAGAAGGCUUUCGGGUUGUAAAGCACUUUCAGUGAGGAAGAAUGCCUUGGGCUUAAUACGUCCGAGGAAAGACAUCACUCACAGAAGAAGCACCGGCUAACUCCGUGCCAGCAGCCGCGGUAAUACGGAGGGUGCGAGCGUUAAUCGGAAUUACUGGGCGUAAAGCGCGCGUAGGUGGCUUGAUAAGCCGGUUGUGAAAGCCCCGGGCUCAACCUGGGAACGGCAUCCGGAACUGUCAGGCUAGAGUGCAGGAGAGGAAGGUAGAAUUCCCGGUGUAGCGGUGAAAUGCGUAGAGAUCGGGAGGAAUACCAGUGGCGAAGGCGGCCUUCUGGACUGACACUGACACUGAGGUGCGAAAGCGUGGGUAGCAAACAGGAUUAGAUACCCUGGUAGUCCACGCCGUAAACGAUGUCGACUAGCCGUUGGGGUCCUAGAGACCUUUGUGGCGCAGUUAACGCGAUAAGUCGACCGCCUGGGGAGUACGGCCGCAAGGUUAAAACUCAAAUGAAUUGACGGGGGCCCGCACAAGCGGUGGAGCAUGUGGUUUAAUUCGAUGCAACGCGAAGAACCUUACCUACCCUUGACAUCGUGCGAACUUUCCAGAGAUGGAUUGGUGCCUUCGGGAACGCACAGACAGGUGCUGCAUGGCUGUCGUCAGCUCGUGUUGUGAAAUGUUGGGUUAAGUCCCGUAACGAGCGCAACCC
rnacentral:rRNA from 1 species